GCAAGUCGAGCGCACCUUCGGGUGAGCGGCGGACGGGUUAGUAACGCGUGGGAAUGUACCCUUCUCUACGGAAUAGCCAUUGGAAACGAUGAGUAAUACCGUAUACGCCCUUUUGGGGAAAGAUUUAUCGGAGAAGGAUCAGCCCGCGUUAGAUUAGAUAGUUGGUGGGGUAAAGGCCUACCAAGACUACGAUGGUUAGCUGGUCUGAGAGGAUGAUC
rnacentral:rRNA from 1 species